rnacentral:rRNA from 1 species
AAGUAUCUGACGUCACACUGCCAAGAAAAGCUUCUAGGGAGAAAGCAACUGCCCGUACCGCAAACCGACACAGGUAGUCGAGAUGAGAAUUCUAAGGUGAGCGAGCGAACUCUCGUUAAGGAACUCGGCAAAAUGACCCCGUAACUUAGGGAGAAGGGGUGCUAACGCAAGUUAGCCGCAGUGAAUAGGCCCAGGCGACUGUUUACCAAAAACACAGGUCUCUGCUAAUUCGAAAGAAGAUGUAUAGGGGCUGACACCUGCCCGGUGCUGGAAGGUUAAGAGGACAAGUUAGCGUAUGCGAAGCUUUGAAUUGAAGCCCCAGUAAACGGCGGCCGUAACUAUAACGGUCCUAAGGUAGCGAAAUUCCUUGUCGGGUAAGUUCCGACCCGCACGAAAGGUGUAACGAUCUGGGCACUGUCUCAACGAGAGACUCGGUGAAAUUAUAGUACCUGUGAAGAUGCAGGUUACCCGCGACAGGACGAAAAGACCCCAUGGAGCUUUACUGUAGCUUGAUAUUGAGUGUCUGUACGGUUUGUACAGGAUAGGUAGGAGCCAUUGAACUCUGGACGCCAGUCUAGAGGGAGGCAUUGGUGGGAUACUACCCUCACCGUACGGCCACUCUAACUCGCGCCCCUUAACGGGGUGGAAGACAGUGUCAGGUGGGCAGUUUGACUGGGGCGGUCGCCUCCUAAACAGUAACGGAGGCGCCCAAAGGUUCCCUCAGAAUGGUUGGAAAUCAUUCGUAGAGUGUAAAGGCAGAAGGGAGCUUGACUGCGAGACUUACAAGUCGAGCAGGGACGAAAGUCGGGCUUAGUGAUCCGGUGGUUCCG